AUAUCAUGCUGCAUUGACCCACUUUAGCGAGAGAGAGAGAGACAUAUAUCAAAUGAUGAACAUGGCUUGAAGUCAUUAUCACGCUUAUCUGAUCUUCUAUUUCUGAGGAGAUUUUUAUGAUCUUUCUUCCGAGGUUGGCUUUCAUGGUAUACCGCGUUGGCUUAUAAGGAGAAGAAGUCUGAGAAAAGGAAGCUGGAGUACUGGAUCUUGAUGAGAUUGUAGCUGGCUACAAGCAAGAGUAAUAUAUACAGAAAAAGAAGAUUUUUGUUUCAUGCAUGGCUCAAGAACACUGUGAAGAUAAAUCAGGGACCAUGGUUUCUUCAGCUGGCUUUUUGUUACUCUGAUGUUUCAUCAAGUAACCCGACCAUUCAUCUGGUAAACCAGAUCCAAGGAUUUGAGUCCAACAGCCCCUGUUCAGGAGCUUCUGAACGAGUUCUGUAGCCUUCGAACAAAGCAAACUGAUCAUCAUCCACCGAAGCAGCAAAAAUCCCACAAGGCCGAACAGUGGGAAGAUGAUAAUAAUGCCAGCAGUAGUUCUUCCAGAAAGCUGGCUCUUUUCUCCCUCGAAUACAUGGGCUUACAGAAAAGUAAAACAAAACUGCUUCCAAUGCUGGAAGAGGUGGACAGAAGGUACAGACACGGUCUACUUCGCGUUGGCUUCGAAAGCAAUCUCAAGGCAUUUCAAAUGUUUGAGAGAUGGGAUUGCCGGUCAGAUUCAGGCCUCCAAGAGAGAGCCAUGGGUGAGAAAGAUCCCGUUGCACCCGGCGCAAGUAGAGGAGAAACACCAAGGCUUAGGGUUCUUGACCAACCGCUCAGGCAACAGUGGGCGUUUCAGCAAAUAAGCAUGAAGGAGAGCCACCCUUGGAGACCCCCAACGCGGCCUUCCCGAGCGAUCCGUUUCUGUUCUCCGAGCAUGGCUUUAAUUUUGAGCAUUUUCUCCACCCGUAAAU